rnacentral:misc_RNA from 1 species
GAUGAAGAACGUAGCGAAAUGCGAUAAGUAGUGUGAAUUGCAGAAUUCAGUGAAUCAUCGAAUCUUUGAACGCACAUUGCGCCCCUUGGUAUUCCAUGGGGCAUGCCUGUUCGAGCGUCAUUUGUACCUUCAAGCUUUGCUUGGUGUUGGGUGUUUGUCUCGCCUCCGCGUGUAGACUCGCCUCAAAACAAUUGGCAGCCGGCGUAUUGAUUUCGGAGCGCAGUACAUCUCGCGCUUUGCACUCACAACGACGACGUCCAAAAGUACAUUUUUACACUCUUGACCUCGGAUCAGGUAGGGAUACCCGCUGAACUUAAGCACAUCAAUAAGCGGAGGA